CAUAUGUUGAUAAAUAAUAUAGAGAUUGGCGAGAAAAAAAUAGUUUAGUGAUAUUUAAAAGAUAGUACAAGAUGCAAAAAAGAAAAAUAAAUCUGAAAUACAGUAUAUAGAUUGAUAAAAUAUGAUAAUAAAGUGGUGUCUAUGAAAAAAAUUAGUACAGUGGAGCAAGUGAAAAAAAAUCAACAAAGGAUAGUAUAGUAGAGUGUAAUUAGCCGAUAAAGAAAAAUACCUACUUGUACACCUAAUGUAGGGAUGGACAUUUUACAUCUCUUAAUCUAAAAAUUUAGAAAGCUCUGGGUGCUUAUAAAGGAAAAUGUUGAUAAGAUUAGUGGAGUGAUUAUAGCUAUAGAAAGUAUGGAAUGUAAGAUAUAUAUCUAGGCUUUGAGUGUAUAGGUAGCAUUGCUCAAAAAAUAAAGGUUGAAUUGUAUUAUCGGUCCUCAAACUAUAAGAAGCGUGGCACUUUGGUCCUCAGACCUUAAUUUUGUUGUAAAUUUUGACUUAAAUUUCUAGAUUCUUAUAAUCAAUUCUCACGGUGCAAUUUAGUUAAUUAAAUGGUAAUAUAUUAUUGAAUAUUAUUGAUGUGAUAGUAAGAUAACAAUAUUACGAUUGAUAAUGUAGAAAUAAUUAAAACUCCACACUACUGCCAUACAAUUAUACAUCAUUACUCAACCGAUAAAAUUAUACUAUAGGACUUAAACUAGAACUAUACAGAAAAUUU
rnacentral:lncRNA from 1 species